UUUUCCUCUUUCACAGAAUAGAUAAGCGGUGUAAAUGUUCUGGCAAUGCAAGACUAUUUGGGUCAAGAAUUGCC